rnacentral:tRNA from 1 species
GGGUCGGUUCCUUAGUCUGGUCAACAGGGGCGGAUUGUAAAUCCGCUGGCUAUCGCCUUCGCUGGUUCGAAUCCAGCCCGGCCCA